UGAUAUUAAAGGGGGGUAAUUUGGUUGGGAGAAGAAAAGAGAUGAUAGACAGACUUGGGAGAGGGAGGAAUUGUGGUCCUUUUUAAUGGGUAGAGAACGAGUCAAGACUAGAGUGGGGAAGGAGAUGGUGAGAGUGGGAGAAAGGGAAAACGGAAAGGGAGGAAAUAAAGGGAGUUAUUAAUGCGGGGUGUUGCGAGGUAUUAGUGGG
rnacentral:lncRNA from 1 species